CCUACGGGACGCAGCAGUGAGGAAUAUUGGUCAAUGGGCGGGAGCCUGAACCAGCCAAGUCGCGUGAGGGAAGACGGUCCUAUGGAUUGUAAACCUCUUUAGGCGGGGAGCAAUGCCGGGCACGUGUGCCCGGAGGGAGAGUACCCGCAGUAUAAGCAUCGGCUAACUCCGUUCCAUCAGCCGCGGUAAUACGGUGGAUGCGAGCGUUAUCCUGAUUUAUUGGGUUUAAAGGGUGCGUAGGCGGAUUUUUAAGUCAGCGGUAAAAUGUCCGGGCUCAACCCGUGCCGGCCGUU
rnacentral:rRNA from 1 species